CCUACGGGAGGCUGCAGUGGGGAAUAUUGGACAAUGGGGGGAACCCUGAUCCAGCCAUGCCGCGUGUGUGAAGAAGGCCCUCGGGUUGUAAAGCACUUUCAGUGAGGAAGAACGCCUGGUGGUUAAUACCCAUCAGGAAAGACAUCACUCACAGAAGAAGCACCGGCUAACUCCGUGCCAGCAGCCGCGGUAAUACGGAGGGUGCGAGCGUUAAUCGGAAUUACUGGGCGUAAAGCGCGCGUAGGUGGCUUGAUAAGCCGGUUGUGAAAGCCCCGGGCUCAACCUGGGAACGGCAUCCGGAACUGUCAAGCUAGAGUGCAGGAGAGGAAGGUAGAAUCCCCGGUGUAGCGGUGAAAUGCGUAGAGAUCGGGAGGAAUACCAGGGGCGAAGGCGGCCUUCUGGACUGACACUGACACUGAGGUGCGAAAGCGUGGGUAGCAAACAGGAUUAGAUACCCCUGUAGUC
rnacentral:rRNA from 1 species